rnacentral:rRNA from 1 species
AUUGAACGCUGGCGGCAUGCCUAACACAUGCAAGUCGAACGAGUGGCGGACGGGUGAGUAAUGUCUGGGAAACUGCCCGAUGGAGGGGGAUAACUACUGGAAACGGUAGCUAAUACCGCAUACCAUCAGAUGUGCCCAGAUGGGAUUAGCUUGUUGGUGGGGUAACGGCUCACCAAGGCGACGAUCCCUAGCUGGUUUGAGAGGAUGACCGGCCACACUGGAACUGAGAAAGGGUCCAGACUCCUACGGGAGGAAGAAGGGGGGAAUAUUGGACAAUGGGCGCAAGCCUGAUGCAGCCAUGCCGCGUGUAGGAAGAAGGCCUUCGGGUUGUAAAGUACUUUCAGCGAGGAGGCGUUACCCGCAGAAGAAGCACCGGCUAACUCCGUGCCAGCAGCCGCGGUAAUUC